rnacentral:tRNA from 1 species
GGCAGCGUGACGUAAUUGGCAAACGUGUUCGGCUCAAAACCGAAAUUCUCAGGGUUCGACUCCCUGCGCUGCUACCA